UCUAUUAUGGCAGAAAAGUGCAAUGGAUUUAAGCUCCAAAUAUAAAGAUAAUUAUCUUUUUUUAGAA
rnacentral:tRNA from 1 species